GUCUGUUGCCUUUCAAGGCAUGUGCUAGGAAUUCUCCACUGGUUGUGGGUUGGAUGCUGUUUGGUAGGUGGUUUGUAGUAGGCUGGUAAAUGUGGUUGGUGGGAUGCUUGUUGCUGGUUACUAGGAUACUCUUAACAGCAGAAUUUGGCUGCCCUGCCUACCUCUUUCAUCAGUAAGGACUUAUUACCUGCUACUGGGGGAGGGAAGGACUUUGAAGGCACUCAGACAGUAGGAGCCCUGCUAGAAAGCUUAGAUCUUCACCAUGGGAAAUGCAGUCACUGGUGAGGCCAUUGCACAGGUGGCACAAGACAAGGAGCCUGCUCUACAUAUAAUAGAAGAGACCGAAGUGGAUCAGUCAUCUCUGCAAUGUGAGCCAGAGCCUGCAGUCCAGAUGAUGGAGCAGACCAGAGAGGCAUUGCAGGAGAUGGAGAGGGUCCACACUCCUGAGACACCUGCAGGGAUGGCAAACAAAUCUAUCCCACAGGGGAUGCAGGGCAGAGAGCCUGCUACCCAAAACAUGCCAGGGAAUCCUGAUGUGAUGCACGCUGUUGAGCCAGAGGCAGAGGUACACAUGACUGCUGAUGCCCAGCCUGCUGGAGGGAUGGCACUGUCCCAAGAGCCAGCUGCCCAACCUGCUCCUCCUGCCCAGACCACAGAAGUGGCUGAAGAGGCUGAGCAUGCUCUUCAGACUGCAUGGGCCAUGGAAACACAGGCUGAGCAAAACACUGGUGAGGGCCAGAUAAGAGAAGAAAGCUCCUUUAUCCCAUGGCCUUGCAAGUGUCUCUACAGGAUGCUCUGCCGGCUGUACAAGAAGCUGAAGCCCAUCCUGCUGCAGUGACAAACUCAACCCCUGACCAGCGUAGAUCCAAGGUGAGACGGAGAUCUAGUGUAAGAGCCCCCACAUUAUUCUGCUGAAACCCAGACCGCCCUGCUGCCUUGGUAGGAGCUGAUGCUCGGGUGACCCAGCAUCUGUCCCUUCCCAUAGCAAGAGCAAUAAAAAGACUGAAGCUGAGCUGUCCCUUCCUUUCUUUCUCUCUAAAUUCAGGCUGCUGCAUUCAUGUUGAAGCCUACCCUGAUGUUGAAAUGCUGAUUCUACAAGACCCAGCAAAAUCCCAGUCCCCUUUCUGCUGCAAAACACUGGUGUGCCUGCUGGAGUAAUAGGCUCCUCCCAGAAGUGACUGGAGCCCUUGACCCACCCAGUAAGCAGGCAGGGUGCCCAGCUGUCUGUGCAGACCACAGACUGACAUGACCUCACAAGUCAUCUCUGCCGGUCUGAAUUCAGUCUGCUGCCUCUGAUCCAAGGGCCUGGAGGAGCUGAGUGCUGUCACCAGUAGAGAAAUGCAUCCUGGAGCUAACUGGAUCUCUGAAUGCUGCUGUAUCCAACACUGAUGUCUCCUGAAAUAAGGCUGGAGCAUAUCUGAGAGUGGGUAUGGGAGAGGCAAUGCUGCCUGCAGGCAACACUGGAGGUUGCAUCAGUCCUGGAGGCCAUUGCAAGACUGGCUUGAUCUAGAUCUACCCCAGUGCCAGUGUAAACACCCCUUCUCAUGCUGUUUAAAAGCAACAGGUGUGACUAUGCCAAGUGUCCCCAAGCCACAUCUAAGCUUAAGGGUUCCUCAAAAGUAACUGCUUUUUCUCUGCAUCUCAAUGCUUUGUAUAAUACUACCUGCUCCUGUGUCCCCAUACCCCACUUCUUUCCCCUCUACUGCUUGGCAAGCCUAGAUCCAUUUAAGUCUUGUAUUUUUGCUUGUUAACGAAAGUUUCUUCAACUAUGAAGUUGUAACAGCUGUCCUCAUAACCCAACUGGCAUACAGAAAUCAUGAAUGAUGGUGAUCUUAUGGGUACUGGUGAACUAUGUAAACCUCUGCUAUCUGACCUGAUAUGUUUUAGUACUGUCAAUGUCAAUAAAAUGGCUUUAGCUGA